UCGCCCCGCUGUGGUACGUCCCAGGGAGCCGCCCGCCCCCUCGCGGCCAGACGCGGCCCCGCUCUCGCGGGAGCGCCUCCGCCCACAGCUCUCGCGCGAGCCCUGCUCCUAUAAUCUCGCGCGAGCGGCCUCUUCCGCCCUUUUCGCCAGCGGGGCCGGGCUAUGGCGGUCGGCAAGAACAAGCGCCUCACCAAGGGCGGCAAGAAGGGCGCCAAGAAGAAAGUGGUUGAUCCUUUCUCCAAAAAGGACUGGUAUGAUGUCAAAGCACCAGCAAUGUUUAAUAUCCGAAACAUUGGGAAGACGCUUGUCACCAGGACUCAAGGAACUAGUGUUUUAUUUUGUUUCAUACUACAGAAAUUGCCUCCGAUGGACUAAAGGGUCGUGUAUUUGAAGUGAGUUUGGCUGAUCUGCAGAACGAUGAGGUUGCCUUCCGUAAAUUUAAACUGGUAACUGAGGAUGUUCAGGGCAAAAACUGUCUGACCAACUUCCAUGGAAUGGACCUCACCCGGGAUAAAAUGUGCUCCAUGGUCAAAAAAUGGCAGACAAUGAUUGAAGCCCAUGUAGAUGUCAAAACAACCGAUGGUUACCUACUGCGCCUCUUCUGUGUGGGUUUUACAAAGAAGCGUAAUAACCAAAUCCGCAAGACCUCAUAUGCCCAGCAUCAGCAGGUUCGACAGAUUCGCAGGAAGAUGAUGGAAAUCAUGAACCGAGAGGUCCAAACCAAUGACCUGAAAGAAGUUGUCAAUAAACUGAUCCCAGACAGCAUUGGUAAAGACAUAGAGAAGGCGUGUCAGUCCAUUUACCCUCUUCACGAUGUCUAUGUUCGCAAGGUUAAGAUGCUGAAGAAGCCCAAGUUUGAAUUGGGCAAGCUGAUGGAACUCCAUGGUGAAGGUGGUGGUGCUGGAAAACCGUCUGGGGAUGAGGCAGGCACUAAAGUAGAGCGAGCUGAUGGAUAUGAGCCGCCUGUGCAAGAGUCUGUCUGAAACUAAAAAUUGAAUGAAAAUAAAAGUUUUAAUAUACAGAACUAA